rnacentral:rRNA from 1 species
AUUGAACGCUGGCGGCAGGCCUAACACAUGCAAGUCGAACGAGUGGCGGACGGGUGAGUACUGUCUGGGAAACUGCCUGAUGGAGGGGGAUAACUACUGGAAACGGUAGCUAAUACCGCAUACCAUCAGAUGUGCCCAGAUGGGAUUAGCUUGUUGGUGGGGUAACGGCUCACCAAGGCGACGAUCCCUAGCUGGUCUGAGAGGAUGACCGUCCACACGGGAACUGGAACACGGUCCAGUCUCCUACGUGAGGCAGCAGGGGGGAAUAUUGCACAAGGGGCGCAAGCCUGAUGCAGCCAUGACGAGUGUAUGAAGAAGGCCUUCGGGUUGUAAAGUACUUUCAGCGGGGAGGCGUGACCCGCAGAAGAAGCACCGGCUAACUCCGUGCCAGCAGCCGCGGUAAUAC